UCAGGAAUUAUUUUUCUAGCGAAAGAUUAAUUGAAGAGAUUAAUUAGUGCAUAAGGUGAAAAGGUUACAUGGACGGCUGCAAACUGAACCGUGCAUGAAGUCACCUCACAUGCCUUCAUCGUGAGUUACAAAGCAGUUUCUUUUUCUAUAGACUGUUCAACUGUCUUUACGUGGAAACGGAGCAAGUCUUUUUCUACCGCUGUGGCCGUAGAGAGAAUCAGACCAAUUGGCUCCUCUUUGCAAACUGAAUGAUGACAUGCAUAGAUCUCAGUUCUGAUCCAGCACCUACAUGGCCAAGAUACAGAUGUGAACACCUCACCAGCAACUUACCCGACAGUUAAAUAAAUAUUUAGCUUGCAAAACAUGACUCUAGAAAACACAUUCAGAUCAAAUGCAACCAACCCUUAAAAAUACAUUGUUCAUGUGUUGACAGCUUUUGCGUGAUUUAACUACAGGUUACAAAAUAAAUAAAGUAAAAUGAAAUGAAAUAUUCUUAUAAAAAUAAUGUCGAACAAAGAAUAUUCAGUAAUUAUUCAGCAAGGUCGAGACCGCAAGAUGAUCUAUCUGGACGGGCUAACAAUAGUUAACCUCGUGUGCGCGGAUAAAUCAUAAUUAUACACCGAGCACAACUGUGCAUGCAUGCUUACCUUACAAUUCAUAUCAAUUGAAUCAGUUGGGCUGCAGAUUUCACGUUGACCACCUCUUGCCUCUUCAUAGCUACAACCGCCUGUGAAAAAUUUCCCCUCUCACAAAUUUGUUGCAUAUCGUGCUGCGCGGCAAAAGGGGACAAACAGGGGAGGCGGAAACCUUAGAUCAGCACUGAAUCAGAUCGAAUAGGGCCUAGCUAGGCAUGUCCAGAGGGAGGCGGGGAAGGAGGAGACUUACGUGUAGUGCAUCAUAAGUCCUUGGAUCUGAACCGGGGCUCCAGCUUGCCCUUGCCCUACC
rnacentral:lncRNA from 1 species